CAGGGGGUGGGGAUAAUCCAGUCUCAGCCUUCAUGUUUCUUUGGUUAGGUAAGAAAAUUAGACGAUGGCAUGCAAAGAUGCAGUACAUGAUGAGUCCUGUCAUAUCUAGACACCAUCCGCUUUCACCUUCUGUUUACUGAAACUGCUGUCCUUCUUUAACCAGAGAUAUGGAAGAAAGUGCGAUCAUGGCGUUUAUCCGCAAGUACCUAUGGUUAUGGGUGGUCGUUGGCAUGGUUUUCGUGUCUGUGGUGAUCAGCAUCAUCUUCAUGUUCAUCUGCAAGUGCAUAUCAAGAAAAAGAGAAGCCCAAAGCUACGAGAACCUGGCUGAGGAGAGCCAGAGCAUCCACGACUACGAGGAUGGCAACUGUGAGCAGAAUGUAAGCAACCACGAGGAAAGCAUCCACGACUACGAGGAUGGCAACUGUGAGCAGAAUGUAAGCAACCACGAGGAAAGCAUCCACGACUACGAGGAUGGCAACUGUGAGGAGAAUGUAAGCAACCACGAGGAAAGCAUCCACGACUAUGAGGAGAGCACAGAACUCCAGGCUGACUACAUCAAGAUGGAGGGAGACAUCAUGUUUCCUCCUCCUCCAAUCUUCAACAGCAUGAGCGGUAGUGUUUUGGAGGCCCAAAGCUACGAGAACCUGGCUGAGGAGUGCCAGAGCAUCCACGACUACGAGGAUGGCAACUGUGAGCAGAAUGUAAGCAACCACGAGGAAAGCAUCCACGACUACGAGGAGAGCACAGAACUCCAGGCUGACUACGUCAAGAUGGAGGGAGACAUAAUGUUUCCUCCUCCUCCAGUCGUCAACAGCAUGAGCGGUAGUGUUUUGGAGGCCCAAAGCUACGAGAACCUGGCUGAGGAGAACGACUAUGUGGAGAGCGUGGACAAUCAACCGGACUAUGUGAAGAUGGACAAGGAAGAUCAAGCAGGAGACAACACCUCCACGGAAGACUAUGAUGACAUCGGGGGUGAAGAAGACGAUGAGGAGGACUAUGAUGAUGUGGGAUAAAACCCAACACAACGAGAUGGAGACAGUUUUGAAUUCUGCUGAGCAGAGAUUAUCCUUACUGAAGAUUUCUCUUGUCUUUUUGUAUUUUUUUAAUAACAUUCAUUGAAAAAAAGGAAAUAAUUGAAGUACUGAAGACACUGAAAUCUGCCGAGUGGUGUCGAGACAACUGGUUUGAUCUUUAAGACGGUGAUUCUUUUUAAUAUAUCGAAAAAUUCUGUUUUUCAUCUGAAUGUUGGAAUUGUUUGUUUUUUUACUGAAUACAUUAACAAGCAGUGACUUGCACAGGGUCCCAGAUUAGGAUGAUAUCUGGAUUUGCAAACUACACAUGAAAGCAAUCAAACUAUAUUUCUUUGUCUUCUUCUGACUUAAAUGUCAGAAGAAACUCUUUAGUUUUAAACAUGAAGCUUUUGCAUAUAUCAUGUGUAGAUCAUUCCCAUGGUUUUUGAGAAGGAACAGACUAUGUUGCUGGUGGCUUUCGUUAUGCUCAGUUUGGCGAGAUUUGGUACUUUUUUAAUGAGCUGAAUCAACUAGAUCAACAGUGUAAGAAAGGUUUUUGCUGUAUGAAACACAAAAAACUAUUGGAGCUUCAAAUUUGAUUCUAACUAAACAUAAGACAUGAAAUCUGAAAGUCUGUAACUGCAACAGCCUGAGAUGUUUUUCUUUCUUUAUGUGUUUGUUGAUUUAUUUAUACACAUGAACAUUGAUAUAAGAUUAAUAUGUAAUUUUUGGGGGGAUUUUUGCUUCUUUUCUAAACUAAAUAUCAGUGUAAAGGGGGUCUCCCCCUGUCCAGAUCCCAAACAUUAUCAGUGAGGCGUCUGACUAUCGAUCAUAUGGUGGGUUUGUUUACUUUUGUAUAUCAGUUGGUCCGUUUGAGUGGUUAAUAAGUGGGCAGUGAUGACAUGUUUGCAUGAUCAGAUCCCGGGCAGUGAGUGAGUGGGGCACAGGGGCAGUGAUUACAGUGGUUGGUUAUAUGUAUGCACAGUAUCUAUACAGUCCUGUGAAAAACUAAGGAUUGAUUUGUGAUUCAGUAGCUUAUAGAUCCACCUUCAGCAGCAAUAACUCAGAGUAACUGUUUUGUGUAUGACUUUGUCAUGGUUGUGAAAAAACGUUGCUUCACGUCUUUUGUUUACGUACAGCUCUCUUGAGGAUGCGCCACAGCAUUUCAGUCGGGGUCAGGUCUGCACUUUAAUUCUUUUCUUUUAUUCACCAUGAUGUUGUAGAUUUACUGCUGUGUUUGGGAUCAUUGUUCUGCUGAGUCAGCGAAUUUGGGCCACGCUUUAACUGCUGGACAGAUGGCCUCACAUUUGACUCUAGAAUACUUUGGAAAAUACUUUGGCACACAGAGGAGUUCAUGGGAGACUGAAAGGUGUCCUGUGACUGUGAAACAAGCCCAAAUCAUCAUCCCUCCACCACCGUGCUUCACAGUUACUAUAGUGUGUUGGUUUUUGCCAGAUGUACUUUUGCACAAUGUCCUUACAUUUGCAAAGACAUUGUUCUUGAAACUUUGUAACCGUAAUCCAUGCCACCAUGUUUAUUUUAGACAGAAGAGACUUUCUUCUGGCAACUUUUUGAACAAACCAUACUUGUUCAGUCUUUUUCAAACUGUAGGCAAGGCAAGGCAAGUUUAUUUAUAUAGCACAAUUCAACAGCAAGGCGGUUCAAAGUGCUUUACAGAGACAUUAAAAAACAAAAACAAAUAAAAAGCAUGAUUUAACAUGAGAAAAAAAGGAACAGUAGAUAAAAUCAGUAGUUAAAAUGUACGUUUUGAAAUUUAAGCUUAAAAGUAAAACAGUGCGGAUUUGGUGCUUUAUUCAAAUGCAGCUGAGAACAGGUGAGUCUUCAACCUGGAUUUAAAUAAACUGAGUGUUUCAGCUGAUCUGAGGCUUUCUGGGAGUUUGUUCCAGAUAUAUGGAGCAUAAAAGCUGAAUGCAGCUUCUCCAUGUUUGGUUCUGACUCUGGGAACUGAUAAAAGACCGGAUCCAGAUGACCUGAGGGAUCUGGAAGGUUCAUACUGGGUCAGGAGGUCACUGAUGUAUUUUGGUCCUAAACCAUUCAGAGCUUUAUAGACCAGCAUCAGAACUUUAAAGUCUAUCCUCUGACGGACAGGCAGCCAGUGUAAAGACCUCAGAGCUGGACUGAUGUGGUCCACUUAUUUGGUCUUAGUGAGGACUCGAGCAGCAGAGUUCUGAAUGAGCUGUAGUUGUCUGACUGAUUUUUUAGGUAGACCUGUAAAGAUGCUGUUACAGUACUGUACUGUCAUGAACUUCAACAUUUAACAUGCUAUCUGUCGCCCGAGAUCUGGCACUGGGUUUUUGCGGUUUCAUUGAGCAUUGCACCGUGUGACCCUGGCUGAAUUUCCUGGGACGUUUACUUCUGGGAAUAUCAUGGCGUUAUGUUAACACAUAUCUAAAUGCUCCAGAUCAACAAACUGCCAAAUUGUCUGCUUUUGUAGAGGUGCUCACUCUCUUGGCUGUCUAUUAACUGGAGUUUCCCCUGAUACAUCCAAUGGGAUGUGAGUGUGUGAAUGUUAGACAAGGUGUUUGGGUACAGAAAAAGCAUGUGUGUGAUUGGGUGAAUGAGGUAGCAAAAAAAGCACUUUGAGUGCCCAGUUACAGUAGAAACGUGCUGUAUAACUCCAUUUACCAUUUGAUUCAUGUGGAAGCAGUAAAGAUUUACUCAGUAUCUCACAGGACUGCUUAGAGUCCCACAUGACUGUGUAAUACCUACCCAUAUUUAAGCUGUAUGUCAGCAGGAACCAGGGUUAUAACCUUAUGUGUAUUUAUAUGAGAUGAUGAUGAGAUGAGAUAGCCUUUAUUUGUCAGUUGCAGGUCUUUUGCCCACAACCGAGGUGACAGACCUUGCCGACCAUACAUACAAUACAAACAUCACAUUGGGGAGACAGGUCAGGCCAGGUAGCGAGGAAAAAAAACAUUGAAAUGUGCAACACAAAAGGAUAAUACAGGAAUGCACAGGUAUCAACACACCAUAACACAAUAAACACAGACAAGCAACAUGGGAAAGAGUUCCAGUGUGUACAUCUGAUCUGGGACCGCUACAAUCUUUCGACUGCGCCUCCAGCUGACCCGAUGUCCACAUCAUGUCCACACCUAACCCCCGAUGUCACAUAUUUUGGGUGACUCAUCACAGAUUAGGAAGUUACCAGCUUCUUUACCUGUGCAGGUGGCAAGAGGUGCAGGUGAGGCUGGAGAGACAUGAGAAACAAUGAGAGGAGGUGGUAGAUUGCUCUCCAUCCUCGUCAAGAGCUCUUUCUGCUUAUGUUGAUUCAUCUUGUAGAUUGCUCUGAGGUUGCCUUUUGUCUUUAAUUCAUUGUCAUUUGUUAAUAAGAUUUUUGUUAAUAAAUGUCACUUCUUUGCACACAUUCCUGCCUCGAGAACUGCUUCAUAAACACUCCUUUAAAAACUUUGUGGUCUCAACCACCUUCUGCGUGGGGUCUGGUCUGUCAAGGCCUAUUAUGAAAUCUCAGGUGUUUUUGACUUUAUAAUCUUG
ensembl:lncRNA